rnacentral:rRNA from 1 species
UACGGAGGAUCCAAGCGUUAUCCGGAUUUAUUGGGUUUAAAGGGUGCGUAGGCGGCCUGUUAAGUCAGAGGUGAAAACUUGCAGCUCAACUGUAAGCGUGCCUUUGAUACUGAUGGGCUUGAAUGAACUAGAGGUAGGCGGAAUGUGACAAGUAGCGGUGAAAUGCAUAGAUAUGUCACAGAACACCAAUUGCGAAGGCAGCUUACUAUGGUUUAAUUGACGCUGAGGCACGAAAGCGUGGGGAUCAAAC